rnacentral:tRNA from 1 species
GGUUCGUUAGCUCAGCCCGGUAGAGCACCUGCCUUUUAAGCAGGCUGUCAAGGGUUCAAAUCCCUUACGAGCCA